UAUGCAACCUCCCAGUGUGCCUACAAACAACAAACAUAACACUUUUCAUCGUUCCAAUCUCAAAAUGAAGGUCCUGAUUAAUUUCAUAUUCAUGCAAAAAACAUAAAACAAAUCGACAGGAGAGACAUGAAUUACUCAGACUUCCAAGUGUACUUUGUCAAGGUGAUACUUUGUCAUUCCAAGUAUCCUUAGCAGAACAUUCAGUUAACCAUUGAUACCAGGACAAUUGUUCUAUUUGACUUGCAACAUCUUUCUUUCUUUUCUUUUGUUCACAUUUUCUAUUCUUUUCUUUCUUUUCCUUUUGGCCAAGUAUCCUUAGCAGAACAUUCAGUUAGCAUGCUACCAUGAUCACCACCUUAGUGUAAGACUUG
rnacentral:lncRNA from 1 species